GACAGAGGGUGCAAACGUUGCUCGGAAUUACUGGGCGUAAAGCGCGUGUAGGCGGGCUGAUAAGUCGGACGUGAAAUCCCUGGGCUCAACCCAGGAACUGCAUCCGAAACUGUCAGUCUGGAGUGGUGGAGAGGGAAGCAGAAUUCCUGGUGUAGAGGUGAAAUUCGUAGAUAUCAGGAGGAACACCGGUGGCGAAGGCGGGUCUCUGGGCCAUAACUGACGCUGAGGAGCGAAAGCGUGGGGAGCGAACAGG
rnacentral:rRNA from 1 species